AACGCACAUUGCGCCCAUUAGUAUUCUAGUGGGCAUGCCUGUUCGAGCGUCAUUUCAACCCUUAAGCCUAGCUUAGUGUUGGGAAUCUACUUCUCUUAGGAGUUGUAGUUCCUGAAAUACAACGGCGGAUUUGUAGUAUCCUCUGAGCGUAGUAACUUUUUUCUCGCUUUUGUUAGGUGCUAUAACUCCCAGCCGCUAAACCCCCAAUUUUUUGUGGUUGACCUCGGAUCAGGUAGGAAUACCCGCUGAACUUAA
rnacentral:misc_RNA from 1 species